rnacentral:piRNA from 1 species
UGAUGAUUAGCACUUCCACAUUCCUUAC